CUGAGUGCAGUUUCUCACAUUUCUCUGCGGUGCUGUGUACCUGCACACGAGUGGGCAGGAAGGAGUGAGAGGCAGGGGCAGGGAUGUAUGGCUGUCUGAACUGAGGGAGUACAUGGCUACACUGCUCCGAGGAGACAUGAUCACCUUAUUCAUGCUCACCUGUACUCCUACCUAAGGAGACAUUUUGAUGGAAGCUAAUGCAGAGCCACAAAGAGGCAGAUGCAGAGACAGAAAGAGAGAUCCUCCAACCACUGGUUCACAACCCAAAUAUCUGCAAUGGCCAGAGUUGAACUGAUCCGAAGCCAGAAGACAGGAGCUUCUUCCAGGUCUUCC